rnacentral:ncRNA from 1 species
UAUAUUUGCAGCCUGAUUGAAAAUCAGUCAGAUACAUAAAAAUCAUUUAAAUAAUAUUAGCAUG